CUCGCACUCACACACACACACACACACACACUCACACACACACACACACACACACACACACACACACACACACACACACACACCCACCCAACAACCCCCAAACAAACCAAGCCAAUUGAUAAUUAGCAUUUUAAUUCCAGAUUACUUUCUAGAACUUUUAAUUGAUUGAAUUCUUCCAGCGAGUAUUAUAGUGACGAUCUUUCUCCUUUUGUUUUAUUCUCUCCAUCCCUCCAUCUGUAGGGGGUGUGGUUCUCGCCAUCCCUCCAUCUGUAAGGGGUGUGGUUCUCUCUCCCUCCAUCUGUAGGGGGUGUGGUUCUCUCUCCCUCCAUCUCUAGGGGGUGUGGUUCUCCAUCCCUCCAUCUGUAGGGGGUGUGGUUCUCUCUCCCUCCAUCUGUAGGGGGUCUGGUUCUCUCUCCCUCCAUCUGUAGGGGGUGUGGUUCUCGCCAUCCCUCCAUCUGUAAGGGGUGUGGUUCUCUCUCCCUCCAUCUGUAGGGGGUGUGGUUCUCUCUCCCUCCAUCUCUAGGGGGUGUGGUUCUCCAUCCCUCCAUCUGUAGGGGGUGUGGUUCUCUCUCCCUCCAUCUGUAGGGGGUCUGGUUCUCUCUCCCUCCAUCUGUAGGGGGUGUGGUUCUAACAAAGACUUCCGACACCAACUGUCCGAGCUUCAUUAAAAAUGAUUGAUCACAAAAAGAAUAACGACCACGAUGUGUCCUCCUCCGUACAGACGCCGUAAUUUUAAAACCACGUGUUCGUCUCACUGCAUUUAAAACAAACCCCUCUCGCUGUGUCAUAGAUCAACUCCACAGUUCAUUACAUCCUCUCUCUCUCUCUCUCUCUCUCUCUCGUGUUUCUACGGGACUGUGACUGAAUACUAGGAACGCUAUUGUUGGUAUUCAUGAUUUAGCGCACCCGGUUAAUUGUAAAUCCCUGAGAUCACCUCCCACCUCCACAUAGACAAUCGUGAUGAUUAAAUCCCCUCCCACCUCCUCAGGUACACACACACAAACAGACACACACAAUGAUGAAAUACCAUCCCUCCUGUCAAACUAAACCAAUGAUGAAAUACCAUCCCUCCUAUCACACCAAACCAAGGGUUAAAUACCAUCCCUCCUGUUACACCAAACCAAUGAUUAAAUACCAUCCUUCCUGUCACACUAAACCAAUGAUUAAAUGCCAUCCUUCCUAUUACACCAAACCAAGGGUUAAAUACCAUCCCUCCUGUCACACUAAAACAAUGAUUAAAUACCAUCCUUCCUGUCACACUAAACCAAUGAUUAAAUACCAUCCUUCCUGUUACACCAAACCAAUGAUUAAAUACCAUCAUUCCUGUUACACCAAAUCAAUGAUUAAAUACCAUCCUUCCUGUUACACCAAAUCAAUGAUUAAAUACCAUCCCUCCUGUCACACCAAACCAAUGAUUAAAUGCCAUCCUUCCUGUCACACCAAACCAAUGAUUAAAUGACAUCCUUCCUAUCACACCCAACCAAUGAUUAAAUACCAUCCUUCCUAUCACACCAAACCAAUGAUUAAAUGCCAUCCUUCCUGUCACACCAAACCAAUGAUUAAAUACCAUCCCUCCUGUCACACCAAACCAAGGGUUAAAUAGUAUCCCUCCUGUCACACCAAACCAAUGAUGAAAUACCAUCCCGCCUAUCACACCAAACCAAGGGUUAAAUACCAUUCUUCCUGUUACACCAAACCAAGGGUUAAAUACCAUCCUUCCUGUUACACCAAACUAAGGGUUAAAUACCAUCCUUCCUGUUACACCAAACUAAGGGUAAAUACCAUCCCUCCUGUCACACCAAACCAAUGAUGAAAUACCAUCCCUCCUGUCACACCAAAUCAAUGAUUAAAUACCAUCUCUCCUGUCACACCAAACCAAUGAUUACAUGCCAUCCUUCCUAUCACACCAAACCAAUGAUUAAAUACCAUCCUUCCUAUCACACCAAACCAAUGACUAAAUACCAUCCUUCCUAUCACACCUAACCAUUAUCGGUAAUAGAGGAUGCCACGCCACCAUAGUAAAAAAAUCAAAUCAAAUGCGCAGAAUACAACAGGUAUAAACCUUACAAUGAAAUGCUUACUUACAAGCCCUUAGCCAACAAUUCUAGUUUUCAGAAAAGUAAGUGUUAAGAAAGUAUUUACUAAAAUUAACUGAACUAAAAAUAAAAAGAAGAAAUUAGAAAAAUAACCAAUAAUUAAAGAGCACCAAAAAAAAUAACAGUAGCGAAGCUUUAUACAGGGGGGUACCGGUACAGAGUCAAUGUGGAGGCUAUAUACAGGGUGUUACGGUACAGAGUCAAUGGGGAGGCUAUAUACAGGGGGUACCAGUACAGAGUCAAUGUGGAGGCUAUAUACAGGGUGUUACGGUACAGAGUCAAUGUGGAGGCUAUAUAAAGGUUGUUACGGUACAGAGUCAAUGCGGAGGCUAUAUACAGGGGGUACCAGUACAGAGUCAAUGUGGAGACUAUAUACAGGGGGUACCGGUACAGAGUCAUUGUGGAGGCUAUAUACAGGGGGUACCAGUACAGAGUCAACGUGGAGGCUAUAUACAGGGUGUUACGGUACAGAGUCAAGUGGAGGCUAUAUACAGGGUGUUACGGAACAGAGUCAAUGUGGAGGCUAUAUACAGGGGGUAACAGUACAGAGUCAAUGUGGAGGCUAUAUACAGGGUGUUACGGUACAGAGUCAAUGUGGAGGCUAUAUAAAGGGUGUUACGGUACAGAGUCAAUGCGGAGGCUAUAUACAGGGGGUACCAGUACAGAGUCAAUGUGGAGACUAUAUACAGGGGGUACCGGUACAGAGUCAAUGUGGAGGCUAUAUACAGGGGGGUACCGGUACAGAGUCAAUGUGGAAGCUAUAUACAGGGGGUACCAGUACAGAGUCAAAGUGGAGGCUAUAUACAGGGUGUUACGGUACAGAGUCAAUGUGGAGGCUAUAUACAGGGUGUUAAGGUACAGAGUCAAUGUGGAGGCUAUAUACCGGGGGUACCAGUACAGAGUCAAUGUGGAGGCUAUAUACAGGGAGGUACCGGUACAGAGUCAAUGUGGAGACUAUAUACAGGGAGGGUACAGAGUCAAUGUGGAGGCUAUAUACAGGGUGUUACGGUACAGAGUCAAUGUGGAGGCUAUAUACAGGCGGUACCAGUACAGAGUCAAUGUGGAGGCUAUAUACAGGGUGUACCAGUACAGAGUCAAUGUGGAGACUAUAUACAGGGGGUACCAGUACAGAGUCAAUGUGGAGGCUAUAUACAGGAUGUACCAGUACAGAGUCAUUGUGGAGGCUAUAUACAGGGGGUACCAGUACAGAGUCAAUGUGGAGGCUAUAUACAGGGGGUACCAGUACAGAGUCAAUGUGGAGGCUAUAUACAGGGGGGUACCAGUACAGAGUCAAUGUGGAGGCUAUAUACAGGGUGUACCAGUACAGAGUCAAUGUGGAGACUAUAUACAGGGGGUACCAUUACAGAGUCAAUGUGGAGGCUAUAUACAGGGUGUACCAGUACAGAGUCAUUGUGGAGGCUAUAUACAGGGGGUACCAGCACAGAGUCAAUGUGGAGGCUAUAUACAGGGGGUACCAGUACAGAGUCAAUGUGGAGGCUAUAUACAGGGGGUACCAGUACAGAGUCAAUGUGGAGGCUAUAUACAGGGGGGUACCAGUACAGAGUCAAUGUGGAGGCUAUAUACAGGGUGUUACGGUACAGAGUCAAUGUGGAGGCUAUAUACAGGGGGUACCGGUACAGAGCCAAUGUGGAGGCUAUAUACAGGUUGUUACGGAACAGAGUCAAUGUGGAGGCUAUAUACAGGGUGUUACGGUACAGAGUCAAUGUGGAGGCUAUAUACAGGGGCUACCGGUACAGAGUCAAUGUGCGGGGGCACAGGUUAGUCGAGGUAAUUUAGGUAAUAUGUAGGUAACGGUAAAGUGACAAUGCAAAGAUAAUAAACAGAGGGUAGCAGCAGCGUAAAAAUAGGGGGAGGUGGGUCAAUACAAAUAGUCCGGGUAGCGAUUUGAUUAACUGUUCAGGAGUCUUAUGGUUUGAG
rnacentral:lncRNA from 1 species